rnacentral:lncRNA from 7 species
GCCCGGCCCAGCACGGGGUAAACACGCCGACAAGUGAGCCCUGCCGUCAGUCACGCGCGCCUCGCCCCCCUUACACCGAGUGCUGGGCCCACUUAUCAAGACCUCCGUCAACGCAGCGGGCGCUCCCAUCUUCUCGCUGACAAAUGGACCCGGGUGCCAGUCGUUGUUGGGGCCGUCACCGGCGCACUCCGCACUGCGCGUGGGCAUGCCAAAGCACCGGGGGAAUCCCCGAGAUUCUGUUGACGCCCCGCCCAGGAUCUGUUGGCCGCUCGCUGUGACCCCACGACCAUAUAACUGUUGCUUUGAAUCGUUCAUGGAUGUGUUCGACGGAGUCUGGACUCAAGAAGAAACCAGCUGGUGAGGGAGUAGACUGGAUCUGCCGCCGUGAUUACUCGCUCACACGACUUCACAGUGGCUGGUGUUGGUUGGGAGUGGUCCUUCGGGGAACGGGAGUUUUUCUGGGAAGCCUCGGGCACCGGAGGAAGCCUUGACCGUCGCUAAUUCCUCACUGACGACUCGCGCCGACUGGGGGACCGCACAUUGCCGUAGCCACGAAAAUUCACGCCAUUGCUUGAG